UACAGUAUGAGAUAGUUUGUAGGUCAUGUCAUGUUAAACACACAUUUUUGAAACAUGUCGUUUCCCAGAAACCCACUGUAGUUAUUUAUUUAGUUUUUAUGACGCUAAUGUCGUUAACAGCGUUAGAGCAAUAAACUGUAUAUUAUUACUGCCCGUGAGAACUUUUACCGCAGGUUUCAGUAUUUCAUCCAUAGAUACUUAUGAAAUUGUAAAUAUGGUUAGGUAUUGGAUUUAUCGGCGGCCCGGUAGUCCAGUGGUUAGCACGUUGGCUUCACAGUGCAGAGGUACCGGGUUCGAUUCCAGCUCCGGCCUCCCUGUGUGGAGUUUGCAUGUUCUCCCCGGGCCUGCGUGGGUUUUCUCCGGGUGCUCCGGUUUCCUCCCACAUUCCAAAAAACAUGCGUGGCAGGCUGAUUGAACACUCUAAAUUGUCCCUAGGUGUGAGUGUGAGCGUGGAUGGUUGUUCGUCUCUGUGUGCCCUGUGAUUGGCUGGCAACCGAUUCAGGGUGUCCCCCGCCUACUGCCGGAAGACAGCUGGGAUAGGCUCCAGCACCCCCCCGCAACCCUAGUGAGGAUCAAGCGGCUCGGAAGAUGAAUGAAUGAAUGUAUGUACAUCCCACAAAAAACAAGGGCUGGGAAAAAUGAAAAAAUAUAUGAAAUCUUUUUUUUUUUUAAUGUAGGACUUUUUUUGCGGGGGUUGUUUUGUUUUUGGAAAUCUAAAAAAAAAUCAGCGGGUGCUUAGCUUUGAGCGUUCAUUACUGUAUUACUAUUUUGUAAUUGUUUAGUACAUUGUCUUGAUCAUGAUGAGUGAUACGAUGGUCUUGGUGUGAAACAAAACGGUCAAAGAAAAGGAGUCUGCGGAAGGUCUCAAUGAAAUGUUUUUUGUGAUUAUCACAUGAGAAAAAAAAUACAGUAAUUGCAAUGUGGCAAGAAGCAAGUCAAAGGAAGUAGGGGAGGUGGAGCGCUAGGAGGAAGGGGCCGGGUGGCAAGAGGAGGAGGAGGAAGUAGGAUGCAGCACACAAAGGCAGCAGAGCAGAAGCAGCAGUUGCUAUAACAACAGCACCUGACUGCUUCCAUCUCCGUCUCUCCUCUCUGUGCCUGAUCACCCUCUCGUCGUCCGCACCCUGCUGUCAUUUGGCUCGCUGUUCCUCUCUACCCCUUUUCUCCCCUGCAAUCUCUCUUCACUCAUCUUUGUGUUCUUUUUAACAUGACCACUUGAAGG